UACGUAGGGUGCAAGCGUUAAUCGGAAUUACUGGGCGUAAAGCGUGCGCAGGCGGUUUUGCAAGUCUGAUGUGAAAUCCCCGGGCUCAACCUGGGAAUUGCAUUGGAGACUGCAAGGCUAGAAUCUGGCAGAGGGGGGUAGAAUUCCACGUGUAGCAGUGAAAUGCGUAGAGAUGUGGAGGAACACCGAUGGCGAAGGCAGCCCCCUGGGUCAAGAUUGACGCUCAUGCACGAAAGCGUGGGGAGCAAACAGG
rnacentral:rRNA from 1 species